rnacentral:rRNA from 1 species
AAACUCAAAGGAAUUGACGGGGACCCGCACAAGCAGCGGAGCGUGUGGUUUAAUUCGUUGCUACACGAAGAACCUUACCUGGGUUUGACAUAUAGGUUGUAGGGAACUGAAAGGGACCGACCCUUCGGGGAGCCUAUACAGGUGUUGCAUGGCUGUCGUCAGCUCGUGUCGUGAGAUGUUCGGUUAAGUCCGCUAACGAGCGCAACCCUCGUCGUAUGUUAUAUGUGUCAUACGAGACUGCCGGUAAAAGCCGGAGGAAGGUGAGGAUGAUGUCAAGUCAGCAUGACCUUUAUAUCCAGGGCUACACACACGCUACAAUGGUCUGUACAAUGGGUAGCCAAGCCGCGAGGCGGAGCCAAUCCUGAAAGCAGGCCUCAGUUCAGAUUGCAGUCUGCAACUCGACUGCAUGAAGCCGGAGUUGCUAGUAACCGCAGGUCAGCAAUACUGCGGUGAAUACGCUCCCGGGUCUU